GACGAACGCUGGCGGCGUGCUUAACACAUGCAAGUCGAACGGAAAGGCCCCUUUGGGGGUACUCGAGUGGCGAACGGGUGAGUAACACGUGAGUAACCUGCCCUUGACUUCGGGAUAACUUCAGGAAACUGGGGCUAAUACCGGAUAGGAAUCCUUGCUGCAUGGUGGGGGUUGGAAAGCUUCGGCGGUUUUGGAUGGACUCGCGGCUUAUCAGCUUGUUGGUGGGGUAGUGGCUUACCAGGGCUUUGACGGGUAGCCGGCCUGAGAGGGCGACCGGCCACAUUGGGACUGAGAUACGGCCCAGACUCCUACGGGAGGCAGCAGUGGGGAAUAUUGCACAAUGGGCGGAAGCCUGAUGCAGCAACGCCGCGUGCGGGAGGACGGCCUUCGGGUUGUAAACCGCUUUCAGCAGGGGCGAAGCUUGUGGUGACGGUACCUGCAGAAGAAGCACCGGCUAACUACGUG
rnacentral:rRNA from 1 species